rnacentral:rRNA from 1 species
CUAGCGACUUCAGAGUUUGAUCCUGGCUCAGGACGAACGCUGGCGGCGUGCCUAACACAUGCAAGUCGAACGGGGCACCUUCGGGUGCUUAGUGGCGAACGGGUGAGUAACGCGUGAGAAACCUGCCUUUCAGUGGGGGACAACAGUUGGAAACGACUGCUAAUACCGCAUAAUGUAUUUUAAGGGCAUCCUUGAAAUACCAAAGCUUAAUGUGCUGAAAGAUGGUCUCGCGUCUGAUUAGCUAGAUGGCGGGGUAACGGCCCACCAUGGCGACGAUCAGUAGCCGGUCUGAGAGGAUGAACGGCCACAUUGGGACUGAGAUACGGCCCAG